rnacentral:rRNA from 1 species
GUGGAUUAGAUACCCGGGUAGUCCACGCGGUAAACGAUGUGCACUAGAUGUCGGAGGUAUUGAUCCCUUCGGUGUCGCAGCUAACGCAUUAAGUGCACCGCCUGGGGAGUACGGUCGCAAGAUUAAAACUCAAAGGAAUUGACGGGGGCCCGCACAAGCGGUGGAGUAUGUGGUUUAAUUCGAUGCAACGCGAAGAACCUUACCUGGCCUUGACAUCCCGGGAAUCUCCUGGAAACAGGAGAGUGCUUUCAUUAGAGAGAACCUGGAGACAGGUGCUGCACGGCCGUCGUCAACU